rnacentral:misc_RNA from 1 species
UCUUGGUCAUUUAGAGGAAGUAAAAGUCGUAACAAGGUUUCCGUAGGUGAACCUGCGGAAGGAUCAACCCCUGUGGGUAUAGUGAGAUGGUUUUUCCAACCCAACCCGUGCGCACAUCCAUUGGACUGGAUGCGCGGGUGUGUGGUCUUCUUGGUGGGGGAGGCCUGGUUAGGGCCUGACUUGGUGGGGGUGACUAGGCUGGACGGUGUACUGACAAAGCCGUUUUUCCAGUUAUAGAGCCGUUCCGGUCGGGCCUAAGGGCAUGUCCAGUCCCAUUGGUGGUGGACGCCCCUCCGUGGGCUCUGAGGCCUUGUCACCCUCAGUGUCCGUCGGAGUCUACAAAGGGGCACUUGUGCCCCGGCGUAACGUGGAUGUGUGUACAUACAUAUUCCGGUUGGCCUUGUGCCAACAACAUGCCAGUGAAGACGUGUCCUUGUCCACUCCAACGUUUUUACCUACGGGACAAGGCCUAGCUGGUCCGCAGGCGGCGGGAUGACUUGGGUUGGAAGAGGGGGGCCGAUGUGUACACAAUGCCCUCCUUCCGUUGUGCCCAAUCGUCUGAAGUUAUGGGCCUCGACGAAUUGAUGUAAGUCGAGGGGGUCAUAUCUGUUUUUGGCCCGGCAUGGACCUAGACCUACACGCGGUGCCCCUGUUCUUGACUGAUUAGGUCUAUAACAUCAAGCUGAGUUUUCCAAUGAGUUUUUAAAUAACUCUCAACAAUGGAUCUCUAGGCUCUUGCAUCGAUGAAGAACGCAGUGAACUGCGAUAACUGGUGUGAGUUGCAUGGCACUUCUAAUCUAACACCAAGCGAAUCAUCGAGUCUUUGAACGCAAACGGCACCCUUCCAGUCCAUUCCAAAGCGGUGGCGGAGGAUGAAGACAAGGGUAUCUCUGGCUGA